UUCAGGGUAGUCUAGUAGACAUGACAUAUGCCCGGUAAGCGGAACACUGUGGGUUCGAUUCCCAUCCCUGGAU
rnacentral:tRNA from 1 species